rnacentral:rRNA from 1 species
GACGAACGCUGGCGGCGCGCCUAACACAUGCAAGUCGAGCGAGAACCAGGACUUCGGUCCUGGGGACAGCGGCGAACGGGUGAGUAUCACGUGAGUAACCUGCCCUCGGCACCGGAAUAGCACGGGGAAACUCGGAUUAAUGCCGGAUAGCCCCACAACCCUGCGGGGUGGUGGGAAAAGGUAGCUUUGGCCUCUGGCCGAGGAUGGGCUUGCGUCGGAUUAGCUUGUUGGUGGGGUAACGGCCUACCAAGGCGACGAUCCGUAGCUGGUCUGAGAGGACGAUCAGCCACACUGGGACUGAGACACGGCCCAGACUCCUACGGGAGGCAGCAGUGGGGAAUCUUGCGCAAUGGGCGAAAGCCUGACGCAGCGACGCCGCGUGCGGGAAGAAGGCCUUCGGGUUGUAAACCGCUUUCAGGAGGGACGAAGCCACUCGGGUUAAUAGCCCAGAGGGUGACGGUACCUCCAGAAGAAGCCCCGGCUAACUACGUGCCAGCCGCCGCUGUAAAAC